rnacentral:rRNA from 1 species
CAGCCGCCGCGGUAAUACCAGCCCCGCGAGUGGUCGGGACGGUUAUUGGGCCUAAAGCGCCCGUAGCCGGCCUAGCAAGUCUCCGCAGAAAUCCCCGGGCCCAACCCGGGGGCGUGCGGAGAUACUGCUAGGCUAGGGGGCGGGAGAGGCCGGGGGUACUCCCGGGGUAGGGGCGAAAUCCUAUAAUCCCGGGAGGACCACCAGUGGCGAAGGCGCCCGGCUGGAACGCGCCCGACGGUGAGGGGCGAAAGCCGGGGGAGCGAACCGGAUUAGAUACCCGGGUAGUCCCGGCUGUAAACGAUGCGGGCUAGCUGUUGGGUGGGCUUAGAGCCCACCCAGUGGCGCAGGGAAGCCGUUAAGCCCGCCGCCUGGGGAGUACGGCCGCAAGGCUGAAACUUAAAGGAAUUGGCGGG